GGAAACGGCGAGUGUAUGGGGUGAAAGAAACAAAAAUAAGUCACUCAGCCUAUUCCAUUAACGAGAAAAACGUCUCGCAACAGAAGGCAACGUUACUCCUCACAGGUCAUGGGGGAGCCAGAGCCACAGCCUAUCCCGUCAAGCAACUGACGCAAGGCAAGAUACACCCUUGACGCCAUACCAGUCCAUUGCAGACAUGACUUGCUCUAACCUAACGAGGUCCAAAAAAAAUUCGAACCACCAGGCCAUCACUCUGUCUGUCUUCCCUAAAACUCCACCCUGCUCCCAGGGCAGCAACAUAAAUCGUGACACUGUCCUGGUGUGAUACCUACUGUUAUGGGAAGAUGUGGUCCUGGAUUCAUGAAGUGAACAGG